rnacentral:rRNA from 1 species
UCCCUGAUACUUUAAGUAUCCUAAAGGGUUGUCGGAGACUACGACGUUGAUAGGUCAGGUGUGUAAGUGCUGUGAGGCAUUGAGCUAACUGAUACUAAUUGCCCGUGAGGCUUAACCAUNCAACACCCAAGGGGUUU